UACAGAGGGUGCGAGCGUUAAUCGGAAUUACUGGGCGUAAAGCGUGCGUAGACGGUUUCGUAAGUCGGGUGUGAAAUCCCCGGGCUCAACCUGGGAAUUGCAUUCGAAACUGCGAGGCUAGGGUACGGAAGAGGGAAGCGGAAUUUCUGGUGUAGCGGUGAAAUGCGUAGAUAUCAGAAGGAACAUCAGUGGCGAAGGCGGCUGGCUGGAUCGCAACUGACGCUGAGGAACGAAAGCUAGGGGAGCAAACAGG
rnacentral:rRNA from 1 species